GGGCCCUUAGCUCAGCGGUUAGAGCAGCGGACUCAUAAUCCGUAGCGCGUGGGUUCGAAUCCCACAGGGCCCAC
rnacentral:tRNA from 1 species